rnacentral:rRNA from 1 species
AUUGAACGCUGGCGGCAUGCUUUACACAUGCAAGUCGAACGGUAACAGGUUAAGCUGACGAGUGGCGAACGGGUGAGUAAUGCAUCGGAACGUGCCCGAUCGUGGGGGAUAACGCAGCGAAAGCUGCGCUAAUACCGCAUACGAUCUGAGGAUGAAAGCGGGGGACCGUAAGGCCUCGCGCGAUCGGAGCGGCCGAUGUCAGAUUAGGUAGUUGGUGGGGUAAAGGCUCACCAAGCCGACGAUCUGUAGCUGGUCUGAGAGGACGACCAGCCACGCUGGGACUGAGACACGGCCCAGACUCCUACGGGAGGCAGCAGUGGGGAAUUUUGGACAAUGGGCGCAAGCCUGAUCCAGCAAUGCCGCGUGCAGGAAGAAGGCCUUCGGGUUGUAAACUGCUUUUGUACGGAGCGAAAAGGCUCUCUCUAAUACAGGGGGCUCAUGACGGUACCGUAAGAAUAAGCACCGGCUAGCUACGUGCCAGCAGCCGCCGUAACAC